UUCUCCGCUUCUCUUUCGAAGCGAUACAGAUCUGAGGCAUAAAUCUUGGAUGAUAGCAGAAACCUGAUUCAUAUCCGCCUUCUUAUCUUCCGCUGCAAUUUCAACAAUUUUUCUAUUCAAAUAAACGAAAAGGAGGAUAUGUUUUCAUCAUUUUCAAACCCUACAUUGAUUAAGAAUUUCAUUUCGUUUUAAUGGCUUGUAGAAGGGCGAUUCUAUUUGGAUCAGAUUCUAGGUCUAGUUUGCGUGAAAUUGGUGGUGGAAGUCUUCUCCAUCUUUGAGUCCUCAUUUUAAUGGAUUUGAUUGUAGCCAGAUUUCUCAGAUGACAUAUCAAUGCUAAACAACGAGCAUUUCUUGUUGAUAUAUUACCGCUGAUUAGGAUAUUUGAGAAAGAAGGUUUUGAAUCAAAGCAUGCGGAGGAGGCUAUAACAGAUGCUGUGACACGAGUUUUGAGUGAUUGCUUGGAGAAUAUCCAACCACAAAAUGCAAAAGAUUCAAAUGUCCAUAGAAGCUGAUAUCUCCAAAUGCAAAUUCGAUUGUGACUACACCUAUGUUCUUGGACACACCUGCUAUUACAUCUUAGCAGCAGGCUUGAAUGGGUACAUGGCAACCGUUACCAACCUGAAAAGCCCGUCAAACAAGUGGCGUUGUGGUGCUGCCCCAAUCUCGGCAAUGAAAAUGGGCAUGUGGUCCUGGAAUAUUUGACAACCUGCGGUCCAUCCUGCUACUGUCGAUCUGAAAGGCAAAGCUUAUGGGUUGCUGAGAGAAAAUGCAUCAGCAUUUUUGCUGGACGACAUGUACAGAAACCCUGGCCGACUACAAGUUAACAGUUCCCAGGUGUUCACUGCAUGGUUGAGCUAUUCAUGUCAAGGACGCAUCCAGAAAGGGAAGCUAUAUUUUUCAUGUUUCUCUCUAAUUUCUGUUUGUUUUAAUUUGUGCAAUUAUGCUUCCUCAUCUUGUUAAACGCACACUGAAUAAUGAUGGUAAUGAAAUGAAGCAUUGAUGAUUUAUAUAAUACAAAAUUCACAUUUAAGAUAAAUCUUUCUCCAUUAAUCAUGGCAUGGGAAACUCCUGGAUGUUCUUUUGAAAGUUGAAUACGGUUUAAAUUGCGAUUUUUUAUUCUUCUUUCAUUUGAGUGCUCGAUUUGCCGCCAUGGUAGUGGAGAUAGAUACCUAUCCCUGUGUGACUACAGCUUUAACAGACCCCCGUUUUUCAGACCUCCUUCUCUACCUUGAUUUCUAACUUCGAAUUUUCUUUGGUUCCCUCCUAAUUCCCUGAUGCUCUUUCUUGUUACUUUUCAGGUAGUUUUUGAUGACGCUAGACAGGGUAGAAUGCUUGCUUACUACUGUUGUGUUGUUUGCGGCGUGCAUGGGUGAGCUAUUCAUGUCAAGGACACAUCCAGAAAGGGAAGCCAUACUUUUCAAUUUUCUCUCUAAUUUCUGUUUGUUUUAAUUCGUGCAAUUAUGCUUCCUCUUCUUGUUAAAUGCACACUGAAAAACAAUGGUAAUGAAAUGAAGCAUUGAUGAUUCAUAUAAUACAAAAUUCACACUUAGGAUAGAUCUUUCUCCAUUAAUCAUGGCAUGGCAAACUCCUGGAUGUUCUUUUGAAAGUUGAAUACGGUUUAAAUUGCGAUUUUUAUUCUUCUUUCAUUUGAGUGCUCGAUUUGCCGCCAUGUUAAUGGAGAUGGAUUCCUAUCCCUGUGUGACUACAGGUAUAACAGACCUCCUUCUCUACCUUGAUUUCUAACUACAAAUUUUCUUUGGUUACUCCAAAUUUCCUUGAUGCUCUUUCUUGGUUCUUUUCAGGUAGUUUUUGAUGAUGCUAGACAGAGUUGGAUGCUUGCUUGCUACUGUUGAGGUUAGUUUUCAGAGUCAUACCAUGUUCAUUUACUCUAUUAUUCACCGAGGACAAAUCAUCAGUUUAAAAGAGUUUUCCCUUAUUAUUUGAAUUACCGCCACAUGUCUGCAACGAAAAUGCCAGGUCUUGAGGUCCUCCAGCAAUAAGUAGGACCUAGCAUAUCAGUCAUCUUUGCCAUCACAGAAUUGUAGAUAUGUUCACUUGUUCUUCCCUUCGUAAUUAAGUGUCGACUUUCUUUGGUUGUAUAUGAGAAGGACUUUUUCACCUUGCUGAGACUUUUUAAGAUAUAUAUAUUUCUUCCGAUUCAGAUCAUAAUUAGAUUAAAUAUUGACACAUAUGUAUUGCCUGGAUUCACCAAUGCAUGCACCAGCUAAGCAAUUUCAUUGCGUUACAGGACUCACCAAUGCAUGCACCAGCUGAGCGAUUUCUUACUUUCUGGUGCGAGAUUAUGAUGUUUGUGCCAUUAAUUUGUUAUAACGGUGGAUGUAUGGUUGGUUAUUAGUCAUAUCGUUUUCCUUCGUCGGCCCCUACUGCGCCCGGUCAUCUAGUUGUAGGUUCUAUAAUACGUUUAGGUAUGACUUAUGUCAACAAAUGAGUAACCCACUUGUCGUAAAGAACACAGAAACUUUACGCGGGGUCAUUUUCGUAAGGAACACAAAAAAUGAGUGAGUCAGAGAUUUAUAAUUGCAAUUUUAUAUUUUGUCUAGAAAGUAGCUCUAGUUCAAGUAAACAGGAUUACAUAUCUUAACUUUGCUGCACUUAUUUCCCUGUUAGAGUUAGUGCUCAUAAAUGAAGAUGUUUAAAACCUGUUGCUGUGGUAGUCUGACUAGAUGUUGUAUAUCUUGCAAAGCCCGAAAUAUUUUUGAGCUGUUUACUAAUCCAAUUAGUUGUUGCACAAUGCUAUUUGAUUACUUAAUGAUUCACCUUGUAGGUGUUAUAGCAUUUUUCCCUCAUAAUUUUUUUUGUUAUGUUUGUUCACCCUCAAAAAGUAUAUACCAUUUGUUACAUAUUCUGAUUAAUUAUAGGUACAUUUAUUCUUUGAUAUAUGUAUACCGUGAUAGCUUUGCAGCUGGUAUCUGUACUGGAUUGGCAUAGACCGAGUGUUUGCACAUAUUUGAUGGGUCUAUUACAGAGUUGACACCUCCUUCUAAAGUUUCUCAAUAUCCGUUUCUUGAGAAUGAGAUCUGGAAUACAUAGAAGUCUCUAAAGGAAAAGAAGUCCUUAUUAUUUCUUGUUAUAUCUUUUUUCAGCAAUUUUUUCUUUUUGUGUUUCUUGUAAAGUUCAUAGUUAGGUAGUUUUGACUCGUGAAAUUGGCUUAGGGAAGCAGAAGAAGGGUGGAUAUCAAUCUGACGGCUGCUUGAAUUGGCUUGGCGCAUUCAUCCCCUAUCUAGAAUAGGAGGUAAGAUCUCUAACACCUACUUAGCGUAGGAAUUCCCCACAAUACCGUAAUGACAUGAAGUUAUCGGUAUCAUGCUCGAAUAUGAGGCAUAUUAUGAGGCAUAUGUCAUUACUGUAAUAGUGAGGAACCUUAUCAUGCGAAACUAUUUAAUAAGAUUUUCGGACAGGGACAGAGCUAGGAUUUUAGGAAAGGUAAGGUUAAUUUUGUAUAUUCUGAGUCAAGGCGUCCGAAAGCUGCAAAAAGAUGUAGCCUUAUUAGUCAUUGGCUUGAGGUAUGCUAAUGCUUAUGGAUGAAUUAACGUUUCAAAUGGAAGGUAGCUCAAGUAAAUUCCGCAAUCUUUAUUGUUGAAGGGAUCAGAGUGUGGUGCAAGUUUUACGGAUACACACUGAGACUUAACUACUCAAAUGCUACAUAAAUUGCAAAAAAGUUGUCCAAAAUUCUUCACCAUUCUACAUCAAUGGAGUACCGUUGUUAUGUUUUAGUCCAUUCAAAUUUAUUUACAUAUAUUACCUUGAAUGACUGAUUUUGCAUUCCUUCUUCAAUUUCUGACUAGAAUGUAUGACUUGGUUUAAACUACUCCUACAUUUUCCACUUACAUUUCAGACCGAGUUCACAGAAAGGGUAUCCAAACACCGUUGAUCAGAAGUCAAAUUCAGAGCACAUUUGUUUGGUGCUUUUUCCUUUCGGGUUCUUUUGAAGUCGAAUAGAUAGGUCUGUUCCGCAAGCGUUAAAGGCCUACCAAAAAUUCGGCCCAUCACAAAAACAGUAUUUACUUUUAGUGAACCCAUAAAAUAAUUUUAUAAGAUUGUUUAACCAAUUUAUUGCAAAUAAAAUAAAUGAAAUAUGGAACUGAACGAUAGAUUACAAAUGAUUUUGUUUCUUGACAACGUCAUGAGGAAAGAAAUGGAUAAGUAACUUAGACUUGGACGAUACCAACAAAAAAAAAAAAAAAAAAACUUC